UACGAAGGGGGCUAGCGUUGCUCGGAAUCACUGGGCGUAAAGCGCACGUAGGCGGAUUUCUAAGUCAGGGGUGAAAUCCUGGAGCUCAACUCCAGAACUGCCUUUGAUACUGGGAAUCUCGAGUCCGGGAGAGGUGAGUGGAACUGCGAGUGUAGAGGUGAAAUUCGUAGAUAUUCGCAAGAACACCAGUGGCGAAGGCGGACUCACUGGCCCGGUACGUGACGCUG
rnacentral:rRNA from 1 species